GCGUGUUAGUUAAGGCAAACACCGCCUUAAUUUUCAUCGUUUUAUAAGCGAUUUACACGUUUUGUCACUUGAAUAGAUAAUAAAAAACACUGAAUAAGGAUUUAGCGACAAUUACGAGUAAGUCGUUUUCACUCCGAGACAAACACGAAACUGCAAACUCCGAUUAACUGAUUUAAAGCAAAGCCGGAAGUACUCGGACGUUAAGCCUCUCGCUUUUUUUUGUGACGAACGUGCGCUAGCUUGGAUGAGAAAUCAAAACAAACGUUUGUGAGUGGCUGGAUGCUACUUUUGUAUCUGUGUAUAAUAACCAGGCUGAGUCACCUGAGAGCUUAAUCAUGUCGUCGAACAUGGAGAAACACUUGUUCAACCUCAAGUUUGCUGCCAAGGAGCUACAGCGAAACUCCAAGAAAUGUGACAAAGAGGAGAGGGCAGAAAAGGCCAAAGUGAAGCAGGCUAUCCAGAAGGGUAACAUGGAGGCAGCAAAGAUCCAUGCCGAGAAUGCCAUCCGUCAGAAGCAUCAGUCCAUUAACUUCUUGAGGAUGAGCGCACGUGUGGAUGCCGUGGCUUCGAGGGUCCAGACUGCUGUCACUAUGAAUAAGGUUUCCAAAUCUAUGUCUGGAGUGGUCAAGUCGAUGGAUGCUACACUGAAAAGCAUGAACCUGGAGAAGAUCUCCGCAUUAAUGGACAAGUUUGAAAACCAGUUUGAAACUCUUGAUGUGCAGACAGCUCAGAUGGAAGACACAAUGGGCAACACCACAACUCUGACAACACCUCAGAAUGAAGUGGAUUCACUCUUGCAUGAGAUGGCUGAUGAAGCAGGGUUGGAUCUUAACCUGGAGCUUCCUUCGGGCCAGACUUCAUCGCUUGCUGCAUCUGUGGCAUCAACAGAGCAGGACGAGCUCUCGCAGAGGUUGGCCAGGCUGCGAGACCAGGUGUCAUAAUGAUGCAGAAAGAUGACGUCAGGAGGAGUGACGAGAGCAAGAGAAGCAAGAAGAGACAGGGAGUGAAAAAAUAAACAAAAAAGAAAGGGAACAGAUGAGAGGUCAAAGGUGUCACCUGUAGAGGAAGCGGCCUUCUGCCGCUCGCAUGCCAGCGCCUCAUUACAUACACACACACACACAAACACACACAGAACGCACCAUAUCCCAGAGGGCCAGGCAAGAGUCAGCUGGGAGCCAUUACAGGUGCUGUCCAAACACACACAAGUAUCUAUACGUGAACACACCCGCAGCCCCGUAAGCUGAUGGGAGUCUUUCAGAGUGACACGCGGCCACCUCUGACCCUUUUUGUGUCCUUCCUAAUCAUCAUCAGCACACACUUAACUACAUUCACAAUCAUCAUCACUACCCCCAGACUGACACAAGUCUCUAUUUUGCCUAUUACGCACAUACGUCUUCGAGCACUCAGACGUCGGAGUUGUCCAAAAGAACACUGACCCCAGUGAUCCAGCAGCUGUCAGUCAUUUCUGCCAGGAGUUAGAUCACCUGAAAUUAAAAUUCCAUGUCCCUCUGCUGUCAGAGCCACAAAAUCUAUUUGGUAAGUUUAGUUUUAAAUCUAUUUUAACCCUCAGUGGCCAUCUCUUUAAGUAUGAUUAAAGCCGGGAGAGUCUUAAAGAGGCCUAUUUUUCUCUCUGACUUUGUCCAUCUCAGCAUAUGUGCAGGGAUGCUUCUUCCAGAUGUGCUGGAGACAGCUCCUGUAUGAGCAGUGCUCUGGAGGGGAGAGAGGGAUCUUAUGUUUGUAUAUCUGUGUGUCAGGUGUUGAUACCUAGUAGCUUUUCUUCUCCACUCCUCGAGGAGUGGUACUUGCUGACAGGCAGGGAUCCGGUGGGCCGGUGGUCCUAUCCCCGUGGCGACCUGUCUGCUUCUGGCGAGAGCUCGGGGAGAGCUGCUCAGAGCCACACACACACACACCAGCUUGAUGAAAGAGCUCUAAUUACAUCAAGGGGGGCUGGUUAGACUAUAACAUGAAUCACUCACAGGAUAUGUAACAGUCCAGACAUUUAGUCAUGAGCUGGGAUAAAGCUCAAUGUUUUAUCUUGAGAGUAAAAUUUAAACACUGUUAUACAGGUAUGCAAUUAUUUCAUUAUUUCAUCAUCAGUUCCAAGAGGUUUUCUGGAAACAACUGCUUCACUGAAGGCUUACAG